CCCCUCUCAGGGUCUCACCCGGAGAGUUUCCAGUACUCUACCAGUCUCGACUUUGGGAGGGAGAGUCAAGCAGAGGCCAUACCCAUUCCAUUCCUAGCUUGGGCAGUGGCUAGAGAGUGGAAGGCAAUCUGCUACAAGU
rnacentral:snoRNA from 1 species